rnacentral:rRNA from 1 species
GAUGAACGCUGGCGGCGUGCCUAAUACAUGCAAGUCGAGCGAACAGACGAGGAGCUUGCUCCUCUGACGUUAGCGGCGGACGGGUGAGUAACACGUGGAUCACCUACCUAUAAGACUGGGAUAACUUCGGGAAACCGGAGCUAAUACCGGAUAAUAUAUUGAACCGCAUGGUUCAAUAGUGAAAGACGGCUUUGCUGUCACUUAUAGAUGGAUCCGCGCCGCAUUAGCUAGUUGGUAAGGUAACGGCUUACCAAGGCAACGAUGCGUAGCCGACCUGAGAGGGGGAUCGGCCACACGGGAACUGAGACACGGUCCAGACUCCUACGGGAGGCAGCAGUAGGGAAUCUUCCGCAAUGGGCGAAAGCUUGACGGAGCAACGCCGAGUGAGUGAUGAAGGUCUUCGGAUCGUAAAGCUCUGUUAUGAGGGAAGAACAAAUGUGUAAGUAACUAUGCACGUCUUGACGGUACCUAGUCAGAAAGCAACGGCUAACUACGUG